rnacentral:lncRNA from 1 species
GAGCUGAGAAUGGAUUCCAGAGCUGCCUCCCACGUGCUCAGCAGGCCCUGGCUCUGCACAGCCAGAGCCCCAGUCCCAGAAGACCCUUUCUUGGCAAUGCUUCAGGAAGAGUACAUUUGAGUUUGGAAUCAGUUGGUCGUUGACUCUGUUAGAACCUCUCCAGAAAACUCUUCUGGUCCUGGGAUUUUCUUUAUUGCAGUUUUAAAGAGGAUUCUGUUAUCUUAGUGAACAUGGGAUAGUUCUGCUCUUUCAAGAGUUCUGGUUUUUCAUAAGUGUCAAUAAUUUAACUAUUUUAGGAAAUUUGUCAUUUUUCCCUAUUUUUUUAUUUUAUUGGCAAAACGUCAUUGUUAGCUUUUACUAGUUGUGACCAUUAUUGUUCCUAAUAUCCUAGCUUUUCUAUUUGUUUCAGACUGAUUUUUGUAAAACAAGUUCAUCAAGGUACACUGUUUUUCAACCUCGUUACUAUUUCUGCGUAUCUUUAU